CUACGUGCCAGCAGCCGCGGUAAUACGGAGGGUGCGAGCGUUAAUCGGAAUAACUGGGCGUAAAGGGCACGCAGGCGGUGACUUAAGUGAGGUGUGAAAGCCCCGGGCUUAACCUGGGAAUUGCAUUUCAUACUGGGUCGCUAGAGUACUUUAGGGAGGGGUAGAAUUCCACGUGUAGCGGUGAAAUGCGUAGAGAUGUGGAGGAAUACCGAAGGCGAAGGCAGCCCCUUGGGAAUGUACUGACGCUCAUGUGCGAAAGCGUGGGGAGCAAACAGGAUUAGAUACCCUGGUAGUCCACGCUGUAAACGAUGUCGAUUUGGGGGUUGAGCUUUAAGUUUGGCGCCCGUAGCUAACGUGAUAAAUCGACCGCCUGGGGAGUACGGCCGCAAGGUUAAAACUCAAAUGAAUUGACGGGGGCCCGCACAAGCGGUGGAGCAUGUGGUUUAAUUCGAUGCAACGCGAAGAACCUUACCUACUCUUGACAUCCAGAGAAC
rnacentral:rRNA from 1 species